CCUGGAGUCCCUUCCGAGCCUUCCGGAGGCCCUCCCGCCUCCGCGUGUGCCCUCCUCCAUGUCCAGCAUUCGGGCGCCUCUUGUCUUUCUUCUGUUCCCUGGCUUCGGCGUCCCCGGGAGUGUGACUCCCGCAGCGGGGUGCAGCUUUCCUCUGGGAUGAGUGACCGGAGGGAACCCGCCUUCCCGGGCCCGUCGCCAGCCUCUUCCUCUUCUUCCCUAGGCCAUCAAGCGGACUUAUGACAAGAAGGCGGUGGAUCUCUACAUGCUGUUCAAUAGCGAGCUGGCCCUGGUGAACCGUGAACGGAACAAGAAAUGGCCAGACCUGGAGCCCUACGUGGCCCAGUAUUCCGGAAAGGCGCGCUGGGUGCACAUCCUCCGGCGUCGCAUCGACAGAGUCAUGACCUGCCUUGCUGGUGCUCAUUUCCUGCCCCGUAUUGGGACUGGAAAGGAGAGUGUGCACACCUAUCAGCAGAUGGUCCAGGCCAUUGAUGAGCUGGUUCGAAAAACCUUCCAAGAGUGGACAUCAAGUCUGGACAAGGAUUGCAUUCGGCGGUUGGAUACCCCAUUGCUGCGAAUCAGCCAGGAGAAGGCGGGCAUGCUGGAUGUCAACUUUGACAAGUACGGGAGCCACCUGGCCCCUUUUCCCUAUACUCCCCUUCUGCAGCUCUCCCAAGAAUUUCACUCCCAUCUUUU
rnacentral:sRNA from 1 species